GCUCUAACCGAGAAGGCCGCUCGACUUCUGUUCUGUUCACGCGCGUUGGAGUCGCCAUAACUGGAACCGGGGAUACGGUAAAGGGGUUCGCGGAGUGCCUGUAGCUGGGUGAAUAAGAAUGGGAGACAACAAGCCGAUUUGGGAACAAAUAGGAUCCAGUUUUGUCCAACAUUACUAUCAGCUGUUCGACACAGACAGAACUCAACUUGGAUCAAUAUAUAGUGACGAUAGAUGGCCAGUAACAUACAGGUUUUGUCGUGCGUUCUACAGAGGAGUCUUUUCAGGCCAGAAAUGUUGUUCUAUUGAUGCAUCAUGCCUUACGUGGGAGGGCCAGCAAUUCCAAGGAAAAGCGGCAAUUGUCGAAAAACUCUCUAGCUUGCCCUUCACAAAAAUAGCCCACAGCAUAACAGCACAAGACCACCAGCCCACCCCUGAUAGCUGCAUAUUGAGUAUGGUAGUAGGCCAACUAAAAGCUGAUGAUGACCAGGUGCUGGGAUUCCACCAGACCUUUCUGUUGAAAAGUAUCCACACUGCCUGGGUUUGCACCAACGAAGUCUUCAGGCUUGCCCUGCACAACCUUUGAGCUUAAAGAUUUUUGUUGUCACAUGGUCUUUCCUCCUCCUCUUAAUGACUGCAGAUGAUGACCCCAUCAUGGGAUUCCAUCAGAGUUUCAUCCUGAAGAACAUUAAUGAGGCGUGGGUUUGCACCAAUGACAUGUUCCGCCUGGCGCUGCACAAUUUUGGUUAAACGCCCCAUGGCUAGCAAGAGGGAAGCAGGGCAAGGUGGAGGAUGGGGUUCUACCCUGGUGACGCCUGAACCCGUCAAUCAGCCCUUCAUUCAUCACACACAAGAGAAAUGGCACCGGAUUAUAGCAGUCAAUCACAGAAAACAUUGCAGGCAUAUACAGUACUGCCUCUUCUCCAGAAAAGACAUGUUUCUUUGCUGAAAGCCCACAUAUUCAUCAAACUGACCCUUUUUCCUUCGCCAACCUGCAUGAUGAUGGGGAGCUUAAGUAUCAGAAAACGCCCUGAUCAGGACAUAUAUGUAUUAACCUUACCUCUGCUGUUUGAUAUUUACAUUUUAGUUGCUGAUUUUGACUUUGAAAUAACAACUGUCUUACUGUCUUUCUUUGCUUUAGUACAAAAUGUGUUAUCAGCUUGUUUUUAGAAUAUGCUCCUGGAAGUUCUUUGCACCUCUUGAAAAUUGGAGUCUUCAUUCAUUGUGAUGUCAGGUUGCUCUAGCUAUCCAAAGAACACCAGUCUAAUUUCCCCCUCCCCUCAGACCAGUCAGUGUGCUUCUCACUUUCUGCUCACUGCUCUGUGUGACUAUAAUUACCAAGCCACGAUACACAAUAAAACCUUUGACUUUUUCUUAACAAUGUUAUCAUCCCCCUGUCUCAUUUUGCGUCUGCCUUUUCCCUUUCCUGUGCUUGCCGCUUCAUAUUAGCUUCUCUAUCAUUUCUUGGUUACAAAUUCAGUCUUGUUUUAGGUGGCCAGUGUUUCUUGAAGCAUCUUGUCUUAACUACGAAGUAGUUUUGAUCUGGUAGGACAGGGCUAUGAUAGCAAUUUAACUUAAACUUGCAACAUGUUAUCCAUGUAUAGUGCAACCCUAUAAAUUGCAGAAUUAUCAAUGAAUGCUCUUGUUGAAGAGUAUAUGCAAAGGUAAAAAUACGGUACACACCCUGGUGAUGCCACAUCAAGACAGCAAGAUUAAGCAAUGUUACAAAUAUUUUUGAGAGUUUUGAGACAGAUUAAAAAAAAAAAAGAAA